ACCGUCCUGAACUCUGCCUGGCGCGCUUUUCCCUGAGGUGGAAGAAGAAAGAGUAGAGCCACCGUGACCAACACUGCUCCCCUGCCCGCAGACAUGGCCACCCGCUCAGAGAGGGAAAAGGCCCUGAAGCUGAAUGAGCAGCACCAGGCCAUCCUGUCUCGUAUGCUGAGGGAGGAGGACAACAAGUACUGCGCUGACUGCGAGGCCAAGGGACAAAGAUGGGCU